CCUACGUGAGGCUGCAGUGAGGAAUAUUGGUCAAUGGGCGGAAGCCUGAACCAGCCAAGUAGCGUGCAGGAUGACGGCCCUACGGGUUGUAAACUGCUUUUAUACGGGAAUAACGCGCCUUACGUGUAGGGCUUUGCAUGUACCGUAUGAAUAAGGCCCGGCUAAUUCCGUGCCAGCAGCCGCGGUAAUACGGAAGGACCGGGCGUUAUCCGGAUUUAUUGGGUUUAAAGGGAGCGUAGGCCGCAUGUCAAGCGUGCUGUGAAAGGGCCGGGCGCAACCCGGGCCUUGCAGCGCGAACUGGCGGGCUUGAGUCCGCGGAAAGCAGGCGGAAUUCGUCGUGUAGCGGUGAAAUGCUUAGAUAUGACGAAGAACCCCGAUUGCGAAGGCAGCUUGCUGGAGCGGAACUGACGCUGAUGCUCGAAAGCGCGGGUAUCGAACAGGAUUAGAUACCCUGGUAGUC
rnacentral:rRNA from 1 species